rnacentral:rRNA from 1 species
UAAACUGAAGGGUUUGAUACUGGCUCAGAACGUACGCUGACGGAAUGGAUUAGGCAUGCAAGUCGAACGCUUGAGCUCUUCGGAGCAAUAGAGUGGCGAACGGGUGAGUAAGGCGUGAAUAACCUACCUUGAUGAGGGGGACAACCAUUCGAAAGGAUGGCUAAUACCCCAUAAGCUCCUACGGGAGGAAAGCUGGCUUUGCUGGCGCUUCAGGAGGGGUUCACGUACUAUUAGCUUGUUGGUGGGGUAAUGGCCUACCAAGGCGAUGAUGGUUAGCCGGCCUGAGAGGGUGUCCGGCCACACUGGGACUGAGACACUGCCCAGACUCCUACGGGAGGCUGCAGUCGAGAAUCUUCCACUAAUGCGCGAAAGCGUGAUGGAGCAAUUCCGUGUGUAGGAUGAAGGCCUUAGGGUUGUAAACUACUGUUGGAAAGGCGUAAUCCCUGGGUGUUAAUACCACUCCAGGUUGAACUCCUUUCGGAGGAAGCAGCGGCUAAAUUCGUGCCAGCAGCCGCGGUAAUACGAAUGCUGCAAGCGUAGUUCGGAAUCACUGGGCAUAAAGGGCACGUAGGCGGCUUGUUAAGUCAGCUGUGAAAUCCCUCGGCUCAACCGAGGAACUGCAGCUGAUACUGACAGGCUUGAGUUCGGGAGGGGAGAGCGGAAUUCCUGGUGGAGCGGUGAUAUGCAUAGAGAUCAGGAGGAACGCCGGUGGCGAAAGCGGCUCUCUGGACCGAAACUGACGCUGAGGUGCGAAAGCUAGGGGAGCGAACAGGAUUAGAUACCCUGGUAGUCCUAGCCGUAAACGAUGGGUACUAAGUGGGGGGACUCCCAAGGUCUCCCUGCCGGAGCUAAUGUGUUAAGUACCCCGCCUGGGGAGUAUGGUCGCAAGGCUAAAACUCAAAGUAAUUGACGGGGGCUCACACAAGCGGUGGAGCAUGUUGUUUAAUUCGAUGCAACGCGAAGAACCUUACCUGGGCUUGACAUUUAUGUGGUACCAAACCGAAAGGGGCGGGACCGUCUUUUGGCGGAGCAUAAACAGGUAUUGCAUGGCUGUCGUCAGCUCGUGUCGUGAGAUGUUGGGUUAAGUCCCGUAACGAGCGCAACCCUUAUCCUUAGUUGCCAGCAC